UGCAAUGCUUCACAACAGUAUGCUGCCCUUGGAAUAGAUAAGGUAUAUUUUGGUGAAGAACUACUAAGAAGAAAGCUAAGGAGAAGAUUAAAUACAACAGAAAAAAUGCAUCACCAUUUGCCAAUGUGUAAAUAGUAUAAAAUGUAAAUAAUUCUUCCAUAUGUGAUAUAAAGAAUAUGACUCACAUGCAUCUAAUAAUAUGAUACUGUUACGUAGGUAAAUAAUGUAUUAUUUGCCAACCAGACAACAUUCAAGAGUGGAUAUUUUGUUCCAAAUAAAUAAUACCUUGCUAUUAAAAUA